GCCGGGUGUGGUGGCUCACACCUGUAAUCCCAGCACUUUGGGAGGCUGAGGUGGGUGGAUCACCUGAGGUCAGGAUUUCGAGACCAGCCUGGCCAACAUGAUGAAACCCCAUCUCUACUAAAAAUACAAAAUUAGCUGGGCAUGAUGGUGGGUGCCUUUAGUCCCAGCUACUCUGGAGGCUAAGGCAGGAGAAUCACUUGGACCCAGGAGGCGGAGGUUGUAGUGAGCUGAGAUCGUGCCACUGCGCUCCAGCCUGGGCAACAAGAGUGAAACUCCAUCUCA
rnacentral:sRNA from 1 species